UACGGAGGGUGCAAGCGUUAUCCGGAAUUACUGGGCUUAAAGGGUGCGUAGGCGGCUAUGUAAGUCAGGAGUGAAAGUUUGCGGCUCAACCGUAAAAUUGCUUUUGAUACUGCAUGGCUGGAAUUAGGAUGAGGUCAGCGGAAUGUGGCAUGUAGCGGUGAAAUGCAUAGAUAUGACAUAGAACACCAAUUGCGAAGGCAGCUGGCUAGACCUGGAUUGACGCUGAGGCACGAAAGCGUGGGGAGCGAACAGG
rnacentral:rRNA from 1 species